GAUGAACGCUGGCGGCGUGCCUAACACAUGCAAGUCGGACGGUGGUGACCUUUCGGGGUGACCACAGUGGCGCACGGGUGAGGAACACGUAGCUGACCUGCCCUGGAGCGCGGGAUAACCCUGGGAAACGAGGGCUAAGACCGCCUACGCUCGCGCGCUGUAGAGGCGCGCGAGGAAAACCGUAAGGUGCUCUGGGGAGGGGCGUGCGGCCC
rnacentral:rRNA from 1 species